UACAGAGGUCUCAAGCGUUGUUCGGAUUCAUUGGGCGUAAAGGGUGCGUAGGCGGCGCGGUAAGUCGGGUGUGAAAUCUUGGAGCUUAACUCCGAAACUGCAUUCGAUACUGCCGUGCUUGAGGACUGGAGAGGAGACUGGAAUUUACGGUGUAGCGGUGAAAUGCGUAGAUAUCGUGAAGGAAGACCAGUGGCGAAGGCGGGGUCUCUGGACAGUUCCUGACGCUGAGGCACGAAGGCCAGGGGAGCAAACGGG
rnacentral:rRNA from 1 species